rnacentral:rRNA from 1 species
AUGUGAAAGCCCCCGCCUUAACCUGGGAACUGCAUUCAAAACUGACGAGCUAUAGUAUCCUAGAGGGUGGUGGAAUUCCCCGUGUAGCGGUGAAAUGCGUAGAUAUAUGAAGGAACACCAGUGGCGAAGGCGACCUCCUGGACUGAUACUGACACUGAGGAGCGAAAGCGUGGGGAGCAAACAGGAUUAUAUACCCUGGUAGUCCACGCCGCAAACGAUGUAAUCUAGCCGUUGGGAGCCUUGCGCUCCUAAUGGCGCAACUAAAGCAUUUAAUUAACCGCCCGGGGAGUACG